GGAGACGUGGCCGAGAGGCUGAAGGCGGCGGUUUGCUAAACCGUUAUAGGGGUUAAAGCCCUAUCGAGGGUUCGAAUCCCUCCGUCUCCGCCA
rnacentral:tRNA from 1 species